rnacentral:rRNA from 1 species
CCCAGUUCGGAUUGUAGUCUGCAACCCGACUACAUGAAGCUGGAAUCGCUAGUAAUCGCGGAUCAGAAUGCCGCGGUGAAUACGUUCCCGGGUCUUGUACACACCGCCCGUCACACCAUGGGAGUCGGAAAUGCCCGAAGCCGGUGACUCAACCUUUAAGGAGAGAGCCGUCGAAGGCAGGUCUGAUAACUGGGGUGAAGUCGUAACAAGGUAAC